UUUUUUUUAAAAUUUGUAUUUCCAUCUGACAUUUUAGCUGUGAAUGUCAUAAUACUGUUAGGUUUUACUGCAAAAAAAUGCACAUAUUUGUAAUCAGCGAUGUCUCACGAGCACAACAGUACCCCCCAUUAACAGGUUUUAUGGUGUUUUGGAAAGUUACAGGGUCAAAUAUGCAACGUUCCAUUUUCAAAUUGAAAUUUGCCAGAUUAGUAAU